CCUAGCAACAGGCAGCAGGGUGCGACCCCCCUGCUGUGCGAGCCACAGCGGGUGUGCUGCCUGAGGCCCGUUUCACUCCCCUCUGAUCACGGGCAUUCACUCUUGCGACAGCUGGACUUCUUGAGCGCCUACAAAUCCCCUUACCAGGAACCAGGGAUACAGAAAUUCCAAGUUGAGGUCUCUGCCUUCAGCGGGAGUCCAGCGGGGAAACAAACAAAAAACGGUAUCAUCUCAACAGUUGACCUCAGAAUUCUUCAUCAGGAAGGCACUGGCUUUAUUUAGGAAAGAUCUUGAUAAACUUCUGCAGCACGGCAAUUUGGUUCACGAGGGCAUGGAUGUUGUCAGAGACAGGGAUUGGUGGUUGGAGUUCCUGAAAGAGAGGGGAAGAGAAGGCAGGACGUGCACAGGUGGCCCAGCUGUGAGAAAGCCUGGCUGGAGGGCCGCUUUGAACAGUGAUACGGAUUUUUAAGUGCUUUGCUUUUAAAAGUACCUCCAGUGACCCAUAAAGCUUCAGUAAACAUUCUGUGGCUCCCAGCAGAAUUCUGUUCACUGUUACCACGGAAGCAGUGAUCAAAGAGAAGGGGCUCUGUUGGGUGCAUGCCGUGGCAGAGGUCAAGGAAAAGCCAUGGAUAGAGACAAAGAACAGCUUGACCCAGGCUGAAAAUUGGCACAAAGGCGACCUUGAGAACACAAGCCUCAUACCCCCAAAAUUCAGAGAAACGUCGGGCAGGACACUGACUCCAGUCUGAGAAGCUGGGUGGUGGGAUCUGAAUUGGUCCUAUCCAGGUCUGAAGGGUGGGGAGCCCCCACCGACUCCUGGCUGUCUGGUGACAAAAGUGAGGGGAGGAGCUUCCAGUUCUGCCUGGGAGGCAGGGAAAGGUGCUCAGAAGAAGCGAUGCCAAGCAAACUCCCACAGGAGGAGACAGGAGGAGGUGCUGAUGAGAGGGCUCCAGCCAAGCAAAGGCAGCAAAGGCCCAUCUGCCCAUCGGGUGUCAAACCUCUGAACAUGGAGAAGUUGUCAUUUAGGGAGGUGUGGGGCAAAGGUGGAAAACCUCAGACAUGACACCCCAGCUUCGGAAAAAGACUACAUUUUUUUCUCAAAUUCAAAUCUCACACCAGGAUGGCCCUGUCUACCUCCAAAAGUGGUGCCGUAUCCAGAAAUAGAUGAUGGCUGGAUGGAUAGACAGACACCAAAGAGAAACCCAUUACCCUCUCUCAAGAAGAUUGCCUAAGAGCGUGUUCCAGAGCAGCCUCCGAUGCUGGGCGUGGCAGAGCUCACAAAGGACUCAACUUUUCAAAAUUCACACCGUGCUAUCUGGCCUGCUGCGUCAGUUUGCAAAGCACUUGUGUUGUUAGUAUCUAUCUGGCUUGCCUCCUAUUUCAGGGUGACAAAAACCUACUUCUUGUCCCUGGCAGUGCACAACGCCUCCUUCAGCCAUUGCUUGGGGAAAAGAAAACAAAAGAGGAGGAGGAGGAGGAGGAGAAGGCGAAAGUAUAGAAACAAGAAAUAGAAGCACCAGCAUAAGCAAAUGAAGAGGAACUAGAUGAUGGUGAUGAGAAAAAGAAAAAACAGACUGGAAGAAAGGAGAAAAAACAGGUGCCACUGUUUCUUGGCCUUCUUCACCCUCUGACUGUGAACUAUACUCAGAGCGUCCAGCAGUGCAAGGACCUGACAGGGACAAAACCUGGUAAGCAUCAGAAUACUCUCACAGACACCGCACACUCCCAUCCAGGCACCUCAGCUGACGGAAUCCAAGAUAGAGGCAACCCGGGAUCCAAAUGAAUGUUAAUGACUUAAAAAUGCAU